GCAAAACGCGAAGAACCUUACCCACCUUUGACAUGUACGGAAUCCUUUAGAGAUAGAGGAGUGCUCGAAAGAGAGCCGUAACACAGGUGCUGCAUGGCUGUCGUCAGCUCGUGUCGUGAGAUGUUGGGUUAAGUCCCGCAACGAGCGCAACCCUUGCCAUUAGUUGCUACAUUUAGUUGAGCACUCUAAUGGGACUGCCGGUGACAAACCGGAGGAAGGUGGGGAUGACGUCAAGUCCUCAUGGCCCUUAUAGGUGGGGCUACACACGUCAUACAAUGGCUGGUACAAAGGGUUGCCAACCCGCGAGGGGGAGCUAAUCCCAUAAAGCCAGUCGUAGUCCGGAUCGCAGUCUGCAACUCGACUGCGUGAAGUCGGAAUCGCUGGUAAUCGUGGAUCAGAAUGUCACGGUGAAUACGUUCCCGGGUCUUGUACACACCG
rnacentral:rRNA from 1 species